UUAAGUCCCGUACGAGCGCAACCCUUGUCCUUAGUUACCAGCACGUUAUGGUGGGCACUCUAAGGAGACUGCCGGUGACAAACCGGAGGAAGGUGGGGAUGACGUCAAGUCAUCAUGGCCCUUACGGCCUGGGCUACACACGUGCUACAAUGGUCGGUACAAAGGGUUGCCAAGCCGCGAGGUGGAGCUAAUCCCAUAAAACCGAUCGUAGUCCGGAUCGCAGUCUGCAACUCGACUGCGUGAAGUCGGAAUCGCUAGUAAUCGUGAAUCAGAAUGUCACGGUGAAUACGUUCCCGGGCCUU
rnacentral:rRNA from 1 species